rnacentral:pre_miRNA from 1 species
CUAAUGCGUGGACAGAAACUCCCGUGUCUAAUAUUUGACCAUUCGUUUUAUUUGAAAACUUUUUGCGAUUUAUAUUUUUGUUUUUAUGAGAUGAUAAAACAUAAAUAGUACUUUAUGCGUGACUAAUUUUUUUAAGUUUUUACACAUUUUUUAAAUAAAAUAAAUGAUCAAACGGUUGGACACGAAAAA